rnacentral:rRNA from 1 species
GACGAACGCUGGCGGCGUGCUUAACACAUGCAAGUCGAACGGAAAGGCCCUGCUUUUGUGGGGUGCUCGAGUGGCGAACGGGUGAGUAACACGUGAGUAACCUGCCCUUGACUUUGGGAUAACUUCAGGAAACUGGGGCUAAUACCGGAUAGGAGCUCCUGCUGCAUGGUGGGGGUUGGAAAGAUUCGGCGGUUGGGGAUGGACUCGCGGCUUAUCAGCUUGUUGGUGGGGUAGUGGCUUACCAAGGCUUUGACGGGUAGCCGGCCUGAGAGGGUGACCGGCCACAAUGGGACUGAGAUACGGCCCAGACUCCUACGGGAGGCAGCAGUGGGGAGUAUUGCACAAUGGGCGGAAGCCUGAUGCAGCAACGCCGCGUGCGGGAUGACGGCCUUCGGGUUGUAAACCGCUUUCGACUGUGACGAAGCGUGAGUGACGGUAAUGGGUAAAGAAGCACCGGCUAACUACGUG